rnacentral:rRNA from 1 species
CCCCUAGAUGUUCUGGGCCGCACGCGCGCUACACUGAACAGUUCAACAAGUCUUAACCUUGGCCGACAGGUCUGGGUAAUCUUUGAACGCUGUUCGUGAUUGGGAUAGACCUUUGCAAUUAUGGGUCUUCAACGAGGAAUUCCUAGUAAACGCAAGUCAUCAGCUUGCAUUGAUUACGUCCCUGCCCUUUGUACACACCGCCCGUCGCACCUACCGAUUGAAUGGUCCGGUGAAAUCUCGGGACGGCGGCUUGGUCGCUUGCGUCCGACUGCUGAAACUUGAUUAAACCAUAUCAUUUAGAGGAAGGUGAANUCGUANCA